CUACGUCAUUCUGCGCAUGCCAGCACCAGGAGUCCACAUCUUUCUAGCUCUAGAUGGUUCGUGUUCCCGCCACUCCAAAGCUGACACAGGACGGAUGACUGUGUGAACUAUGAGAGCUUUCUGGAAAUCCAUGUGACAGCCCUUUGCCCUAAGAAUGGAAAAGUGGGAGACUUGCAAAGCCUGAAUCACUCUGUAAAUGUCGCAUACGAGUGGUAUCAUCAGAAUAAUGAUCACCGUCUCCGGAUGUGGUUGAGAAGUGACUGUAUCAGAGUUUCUCUUCUAAAGGAGGUCUUACGGCUGGCCUUCUGAUGAUAACACCACCAGUCAUGGGAGUUAACACUUCUAGAAGGCUUACCAUGUUCCUGAUACGGUUCUAGGUUCCUUAGAACCUACUCGUUAAAGGUUUCCCUCCUGAAGUCCUCUGACUUCCUUCCUAAAGCUUGAUAUGACACCUAGCUAAGAUUCAAGUGUUUUGGGUUCAAAUCCUGACUCUUCCACUUACUAUUGUUGUCACAUCUCUGAACCCCAAUUUCGUCAUCUAUAAAGUGAGCAUACUUUCUUCCCAGAAGUAAAUGAAACAAUAUAGAUCAAAAAGCACCCCAUACUUAACAAGCUUUCAAUGACUGUUCCUGACCUUCCCCUAAGCAGUUGAUAUUUCUAUUUUAAAAUGUUUCCACUUUCAAAUAAUUCAAGGCAUAAGACCAAAUAAAGUGUUUUAAAUAUAUAAAA